rnacentral:lncRNA from 1 species
CACCCAAGAUCAUUCAGUGUAAAUACCGACGAUUCCAGUCCCCAGGAAGUAGUUUCCAAAAAGCAACAGACCAUCAUUUACUUCCUUUUUCUCUCCCUAAAACCCAAACAUCUUCCACAAUUGACCUUCAAUCUGGUUCUCUCCUUCUAUACGGCCCAUCAUCCACCGCGUCUCGCUCAGGCAGUCCCCCGAGAAGGUAAGUCCGUGUCCCAUUUCUUAUGGCUUCUCUGGCUAAUUCGUGAGCCAUUAUAUUUGUUGAUCUAGGUAUAUGUUUGAAUGAAAUCUGAUGGAAGAAUCAUUUUUGACGUUGUAUGUUUUUUUAUUAACGCCCCUAUCUUUGAUCUGUCCACGCUAUCUGACUAACUUUUCUUUAUUAUUGAAACUGAAUCCCCUUCAAUAGCAACUAAUGAAAAUCCUUUUCGUUUCCCCAACAAAAUUGCUUGGAGACAUGUAUGUGCCUCUGCUGCGAACGAAGAAGCAACUCCCCUGUGUACCAUUGUUUUAGAGGCAAGAAUCUCUCCAGAAGAAUUUCUCGCUACCACCUUUGAGGCCGAUAAGGCCUGUGCCUCAUCAAAGGCCGCAUCAAAAUUUACUUUAAUGUCGGACCCAUUCGGGGGACACCAUUCAAUAGCUACGGUUUCUUUGGUCAGUUUACUAUUCUCACACUCGUCAAUUUCCUUGGCAUAUCUUGAAACCCAUGUAUCAAUAUCACGGCCCCUACUUCUCUUCCCCUCAAAUAACCCCUUAUUUCUAUCGGUCCAAAUCGUCCACAAGGAGUAGCAGAAUAAGCGACACUGCGACCCAGUAUAGUUUUUGAAUACCCAGGUAAGCCAUUCCCAACAGUUCAUGUUGAUUCAUGUUAAUAUCCAUUCGAGAUUUAAACUUAUCCAGACCUCUAUUGUAACAGGACAGUCACGUACCAGGUGGUCAACAUUCUCAGCAACCCCUCCACAUCUUGGGCAUGCAGUCUCCGUCACCAGUCUUUUAAUGGAUAAAUUAGCUAGAUUAAGGAUGAAAUUCCAGGAAACUUUCCAAAUGAAAAUCUUAAGCUAAAAUAUUGCUGUUCCAUAGGUUUUUUUGUAGAAGCUUUUCAUUUCGGUUUGUAAAUAAGUAGGAUUAGUAUUACCCUUAUGUAAUAGUUUGUAGGCACUUCGCACCGAAAAUUCCCCUUAAGAUUCUCCCCCCCACACCAUCAUAUCCUCGUGUGCUUCCAUGGCCAAGGGGAUUUUCAAAAUUCUAUCUGCAUCGUCCCUUGAGAAGGUAGAAUUAAUAAGCUCAAUUUUCCAUUCACGUAUUUGUGCAUUAAUUAAAUCAGAAACCAACCUGACCUAGCUGUUACAAG